rnacentral:tRNA from 2 species
GCGGGUAUCGUACAUCGGUAGUACCCUAGCUUCCCAAGCUAGAGAGGCGGGUUCGACUCCCGCUACCCGCUCCA